rnacentral:snRNA from 1 species
AGCCACGCAGUGAGCACAAAGCGAACUAUUCUUUCGCCUUUUACUAAAGAAUACCGUGUGCGCGCUGCAUUCAGUGGCAUACGCCUAUUUUUGGAGGGNUGUCAGUUAACUUCAG